rnacentral:lncRNA from 1 species
GCCAGGGAAGGGGACUUAGAAGAACAGUCAUGGACUCAGGAGGAGAGCCAGAAGAGUGUCACUAAUAGCCAGCCUUGAGUUAACUUCGUAAGCUGCUGUAACAAAUCCCACUGGCUGGGUGGCUUAUAAGCAACAGAAGUUAUUGCUCACAGUUCCAGAGACUAGGAAGUCCAAGAUCAAGGCACCAGCAUGGUCACCUUCUGAGUGGCUUGCCAAGCAGUGCCAUGUCCACACCCGUGAUCCGAACCGGCGAACCCCGGGCCGCUGAAGUAGAAUGUGUGAACUUCACCGCUGUGCCACCGGGCUGGCCCAGAUUAACGGUAUUGACUGUCUAAAUUUACUUGUUAAUUUUGGCAUCUAAAGUUGUUGCACAUAGUGGAUACUUGCGCAUGGGGGACACUUAAAGAUAAAUGAAUCUUAAUUUGAUUUUACUCUGUUGGCUGGGUGUUGGGGCCAGCACUGACACUGCACUAGAAUCUAGCAGUCAUAUUCCAAGCAGGGUCAUACCAUUAGUCUGAGUUCUCACAAAGACUACAGAGAGUAAUGUUGGAGAACUAGCUCACUUGAAGAUGCUUGCAAAGAAUUUUCAGAUUCACAGUGUGGAUGUAUAUUUCCUUUCAAGAGUUCUUUUGCUUUCUGCUCCGAGAAAUGUUUUGUGGUUUCCGAAACCCACUCCUGUCCCUGAUAAGGAGAGUGCUGAGAAACAACGUACUACAGUUAAAACAAAAACAAAGAAAACCAAGCAAACCCCAUAACCAUUGGUUUUCCAGUGUGUUUCACAUGAGAAUGUCUCACUCAUUUCUUAAAAGCCAAAGUAAAUUGGUGUUAUAGAUUUUCAGGAGUGAAAAGGUCUUUCAAAUAUUAUUUAGUCUACUUUCAGAGAAAAUUCUUGAAUCCUCUCCACACCGUGAGCAUGUUACUCUGUUUCCACUAAGGGCUGUACUUCUGAGCAAUGUCUUCUUCGAACAAAGCUGGGUAUAAAGGGCUGGGCAAUCUUCAACAGACUCAGAACUAGAACCAUCCAGUGCUCCAGAGCUGGUGGAGGUGGGUUUCAGGGUACUAGACUCAGCUGCAGGUGCUGAGCGCGCAUCAGGCUGGCAGGCCGAACCCGGACUCUCACGGUUAUGGAACACUGGAGCAAGUGCGGGAUGGUCAUCAGUCCCUGGUAGACCCUUGAUUGGGGGAGCACAGUCGUGGCAAACCCACGAGUGGUGUUUAGAGACACAAGCUCUCAGGAUGAUGGGUCAGGAUGCAGCUCAGGCUGUAAUGAGUUUCAGGGAGGUGAUCGUUAACUACACACUCUGGUCUAUCAAGCCCCUAAACCUGACCUUCCACCUGCAGCUCUGCCCUCAUGAUGUGCCACCACCCUCAAUGGUCCCAUCACUGUGACUUUCUUUCCAACUACAGAAUACCUUUGCACCCCAGAACCUUGGUCACUCAGAUUUCUGAUUAAAUGUCCUCUCCUCAUAGAGGCUUUCUCAGGACACUGUGUUUCACAUGAUUCCAUUUUCAUUCUCUGCGUAACCUUGAGGACCCUCCCCUCAUUAUCUACAUCCUCUCCACUAUAACGUAAGCUCAGUGAAAGGAGGCUGUCUGUUUGUCUUGCUCCUUAUUGUAUCCAGUGAUCCAGGCACUUUUAUAAGUACCUAGCA